UACGGGGGGGGCAAGCGUUGUUCGGAAUUACUGGGCGUAAGGGCUCGUAGGCGGCCAACUAAGUCAUACGUGAAAUCCCCCGGCUUAACCGGGGAACUGCGUCUGAUACUGGAUGGCUUGAGUUCGGGAGAGGGAUGCGGAAUUCCAGGUGUAGCGGUGAAAUGCGUAGAUAUCUGGAGGAACACCGGUGGCGAAGGCGGCAUCCUGGACCGAUACUGACGCUGAGGAGCGAAAGCCAGGGGAGCAAACGGG
rnacentral:rRNA from 1 species